UUUUAUAAUUUGCGGCAGGAUUGAAUACAAUGAUGAUAUCUUUAUUCCACCUGCAGCUUAUCUCUUUUCUUUGAUCUAGCUCUUUUCUCAUCGGGUGCACUCAAUUUGCAAGAGCAGAGUAGUACCAUGUGCGAGAUUCUGGAACGUCUUUUGAAUUUUAUCUAACUUGCGAUUAUGUUUUGUGAUCAUGUUCUGUUUCUUGCCGUUUUUUGUGGGACAGGUGAUGAAAUGACCAGAAUAAUUUGGCAAAUGACCAAGGAUAAGCUUAUUCUUCCAUUCUUGGAGGUUGAUUUGAAAUACUAUGAUCUGGGAAUCCUGAACAGAGACGCCACUGAUGACCAAGUGACACAUGAAAGUGCCGAGGCUACCCUUAAGUUGGGAACUACCUUCUGAUUUUAUUCAUGAACGCAGUUUUAUCCACUACAUAGAUUCUAAUGUUGCUUAUCUCGUUUCAUCAAAGCAACUUUAUCUUGGACCUCAUUGCUUCUGUAUGAUCAAACGAUAACCAUUCAAUAACCAGCAAGAUGAUCACGAGAUGACCUGGUCGAUACUUACCGACGAGCGGAUUUGAUCUGGCUAAAGUUUUGUGUUGUUUGGUACAGAUACACCGUCGCUGUCAAAUGCGCAACCAUUACCCCUGAUGGAGGGCAUGUGAAGGAAUUUGGACUAAAGCAGAUGUGGAAGAGUCCGAAUGGGACUAUCCGGAACGGUUUGAAUGGUAUUGCUGGAGCACAUCCGGCUAGAUAAAUUCUGCAUGUUUCUGAAUCGCGUGAAUUUGACUGAUCCCUAGGACCGUGUUUCGCGAGCCAAUUUUGUGCAAGAAUAUUCCUCGUCUUGUUCCUGGCAUGCCUAUGGCGACCAGCACAAGGCCACAGACGCAGUGUUCAUGUCAAUACAGAAGAAAUGGCCACUAUACUUGAGCACAAAGAAUACCAUUCUGAAGAAAUACGAUGGAAGAUUUGUCCAGAUGGCAAAACUAUUGAAGCUGAAGCUGCUCAUGGGACUGACUCGGCACUUCAGAGUGCACCAGAAGGGUGGUGAAACUAGCACCAACAGUAUUGCUUCUAUUUUUGCUUGGACUCGUGGACUGAAUCACAUAGGGUUGCAGGAUGGAAACACGAAGUUUCAAGAUUUUGCUCAGAAGCUGGAAAUAGCUUGCAUUUCUGUCGUAGAAGCUGGAAAGAUAAAGCAUCUUGCUCUUCUAAUUCAUGCCCCUAGAUGACCAGGAAAGACUACCUCACAACUGAAGAGUUCAUUGAUGCUGUUGCAGAGGAGCUACACGCAUCGCUGUAACCGACAUUCAAAUUAUAAUGCCUUUGCUACCUGACUAUUGAAGUUUAAUCAACAGGGCAGCACCUAUUCUAUCUCAUGUAUACGACACUGGUCCUGUGUUAAGUGGAAUUUUUAGAAAUUUGGAGUUCAUUAGCACUUCGUUUUGCUCAUCACGCGUGUUUGAUUUUGGAAGUACAAAAUGUGAAACCACAUGGUAAAUAAAUGAUGCAUCUUUGCCCAACCCAAGCUCAUUCAUUGCAGCAGCC